rnacentral:rRNA from 1 species
ACGAACGCUGGCGGCGUGCUUAACACAUGCCAGUCGAACGGAAAGGCCCUGCUUUUGUGGGGUGCUCGAGUGGCGAACGGGCGAGUAACACGUGAGUAACCUGCCCUUGACUUUGGGAUAACUUCAGGAAACUGGGGCUAAUACCGGAUAGGAGCUCCUGCUGCAUGGUGGGGGUUGGAAAGUUUCGGCGGUUGGGGAUGGACUCGCGGCUUAUCAGCUUGUUGGUGGGGUAGUGGCUUACCAAGGCUUUGACGGGUAGCCGGCCUGAGAGGGUGACCGGCCACAUUGGGACUGAGAUACGGCCCAGACUCCUACGGGAGGCAGCAGUGGGGAAUAUUGCACAAUGGGCGGAAGCCUGAUGCAGCAACGCCGCGUGCGGGAUGACGGCCUUCGGGUUGUAAACCGCUUUCGCCUGUGACGAAGCGUGAGUGACGGUAAUGGGUAAAGAAGCACCGGCUAACUACGUG